AUUGAACGCUGGCGGAAUGCUAUACACAUGCAAGUCGAGCGGCAGCGCGGGGCAACCUGGCGGCGAGCGGCGAACGGGUGAGUAAUACAUCGGAACGUACCCAGUUGUGGGGGAUAGCCCGGCGAAAGCCGGAUUAAUACCGCAUACGACCUGAGGGUGAAAGGGGGGGAUCGCAAGACCUCUCGCAGUUGGAGCGGCCGAUGGCGGAUUAGCUAGUUGGUAGGGUAAAGGCCUACCAAGGCGACGAUCCGUAGCGAGUCUGAGAGGACGACCCGCCACACUGGAACUGAGACACGGUCCAGACUCCUACGGGAGGCAGCAGUGGGGAAUUUUGGACAAUGGGGGCAACCCUGAUCCAGCCAUUCCGCGUGAGUGAAGAAGGCCUUCGGGUUGUAAAGCUCUUUCGGCAGGAACGAAACGGUGGGCUCUAACAUAGCCUGCUAAUGACGGUACCUGAAGAAGAAGCACCGGCUAACUACGUGCCAGCCGCCGCCGUAACAC
rnacentral:rRNA from 1 species